UUGCUAAUCCUAACCCUAAUUUCCUCCAACAACUGUCGCCACCGCUCUGCCGACAUCAUCUCCUAUUUCAAACCCUAAAAUACCAAUUUUCUCUCUGAUUCUUGGCUAACAACUUCAGUUCUGGUAAUAAGAACUCCAACAUCAGAUUGGGGUUUCGAAAAUCUCUACUGAGGAUAUCUGCAAGUGAGAACGAUACAAGAAGAUGAAGGCGAUGGCGAUUUGAUUCAAGCCGAUUGGAUCAUGUGGUACAAAUGCUACAAAGUUUUCAGCAUGUCAAAUAUAUCUCGACAAGAUCUCAGGUUUAUCGAUCUGAAUUCUGCAUAUCUCGCUGAUCUGAUUAUUCUCUCAAACCUAGAGCAGCGACAUCAGAAUUUGCCAAAAAAGAAUCAGAAGAAAUGUGCGAUUUGAAGAAAGAAGAGAAACCGGUCAACAAAGGUGGCGAUGAAGGCCGCCAGCGGCAGAGAAGGUGUAUGGCUACUUCUUUUAGUUGGCGAUAUAAAAUAUGGAUUUGAGAGGGGAAGGAUUUGGUCUCAAUCGCUAAUUUGAAGGUUGGUUAAGGAGAUCCAAUUUAUUUAAGUCGAUGCCUGAAUAACAUGGGUUCUUUCCUUCCUGAAGCUGGGUUUUUAAACCUAUUGUCGCUGCUCAGAGAUUUUUUGGUUGCCUUAUUAUCAUGGGAUGGUGUUUGAUCAGUUGUCACUAUCGUGGUGAUAUUUCAUCCGUUGAACAAGGAGAUUUUUUUCACAAAACUACUGGAGAUGAGGCGACCAAACUCGAGGUUCUACUACAGACGGGUGGAUAUUUGCUUCUUUCUUCCUAUGUUUAUGACACAUGUCAAGCUGAUGCGGCGGUUGCUGUGGAUGCUGCUGGUACUGCUAGCGGAGAAUCGGCAGCUACGACGGUGCAGAAGUCCGGUGGAUGGUUCGGUUUUAUAUCGGAUGCUAUGGAAGUUGUUUUGGAGGUUCAUCAUCAAAAAGAAAGGAUACGAUAUUCACGACCUAUGAGAAUUCAACCGCAUACAAACAAUGUACGGCUAGGCCAAGGAAAUAUGGCCCAGAUGGGGUGGUUGCCGGUAGUGGUGGCGAGACUGGCAACACAUUGUCACCGAUUCCCAUCUCUGCCACGGGCCCGCCAAUAUCCGGUGGUUACUUUGAGAUAAAGUUUGGUGAUUCGGAAGGAAGUGGUAGCAGUUUGUUUGGUGAGAAGAAGAAAGUGAAAAUAAUUCUGUAGAAUCCAAAUCAAAGCAUGGAUAUGGGAGUAUGGAUUUAGGUGACAGGAUUGCAUUUGGUGGAAGUUUUACGCCUCAUAUGGUUACUUUUAAUCCAGGCGAGGAUGUUACCUCUAAAAUCAUUUUGUUUACUAAAGACGGGCCUCAGUCAGUAUGCAUUCUCUCGGCCGUCGGUGUUAUUUCACAUGUGACUUUGCCCCACGCAUGGCCGGCCCUGAGUGUGGGCGGGGAGGACCAUCAGCCAGGGCCUGAUAUUUCGAGGGGCACGUUUUUUUAUGAAAAAUCCCGAUAUGUAUAUGUAAAAUACCUUUUUAAUAGGGUACACUCAUACAAACACCAACAUAGGCCCCCUUACAAAACUAUUAUUAUGGUUUAGAUUAGUUAUUAACCAUUUGGCAUUAGAGGUUUAGACCUUUAGUGAACCCAAUACCCAAUUUCGUUAAGGCCUACGGGCACAUUUUUUCAAGCUCGAACAAGGUAUACGAAUUCUGAGGGUCGGCCCUGCCAGUUCUUCUGUAGGAACCGUAACAUAUGAGGGAAGAUUUGAAAUUAUUUCGUUAUCUGGAUCUUUCACACCAGGCGAGUUUGGAGGAUCUUUCACACCAGGCGAGUUUGGAGGAUCUUUCACAUCUUGUGAAACUAAGAUGAGCAUAACGUUAUCGAGCCCUGAUGGACGUGUGGUUGGGGGCCAGCUUGGAGGAGUUUUCAUCGCUGCUGGUCCCGUUCAGUUGCAAAGCAACACAAAAGUUUGAAACCAAAGCUUGGUGGGUCUGUGGAUGAAACAUAAGAUGAUGCCAAAGAUGAAGAAAAGGAAAGCGUUGCAUGGAGAAGGAGCAAAAGCAUAUAUUAUGAACGAAAUAAGGUUGAAUUUCAACAUUAAAGUAUAGUCUGGCAAGGAAAACCAAGGCCAAUAGUUAUCCAUCAUUAGAGUUGAAAAGAUUUGGUUUCCAAACCGAAAGCGUAUUGUUAGGAGUUGGUACCAUAUCAUAUGAUUUGAAAGCGAUUCCGUUAAUACUCAUCCCAAUCAGGUUUUAAAUCAUAGGGUUGACUGGGUAUGGAUAUCUUAAAUUAAUCAUUUAUGUUUACAUAAAAAAAGAUGAUAUGUUUAGAUGAACUGGGUAAGGAUUCACAAUUGAAUCAACUUUGAAUUUGGACAACACAUCUGAAUAUGGCUUUGCUGUGGUUUCCGAAAAUGAUUAGAAGUUUUAUUAGAUGGAUAUUUAGUAUCCAAGGUGGAUUUUCAUGUAAUUUGAUAAAAAUAGUUAUGGCUUUGCUGUGUUAUAUGCAACCUGUAGUAAAUCAAUGUUUUACGGAAUGAUUAUUUCUCCCGAGGUUGGUUACGUGGUAUGUUUAAACGUUAUUGUUCUUUUAAUAUUGAAGACGUUAACAUUUAAUUUAUAUACCUUAUUAGUCAUGUCUUAUUCAUUAUUUAAAAUAUAUGUACAAUUGUGUUUAAGAAAAUUUAAAUAUCCAACCCGUGAGUAAUCACGGGUGAU